AUGGCCGCAGUAUUUUGACUGUGCAAAGGUAGCAUAAUUAUUAGUUUUUUAAUUGAAAGCUUGUAUGAAGGGUUGGACGAGAUAAAAUCUGUCUUUAUUUAAGUUAGAAUAGAAUUUAACUUUUAAGUCAAAAGGCUUAAAUGUUUAUAAAAGACGAGAAGACCCUAUAGAUCUUUAUUUGAUUAAAGUUUUGAUAAUUUAAGAUUAUUUUAAUUUAAAAUUUUAAUUAAAUUUUAUUGGGGUAAUAUAAAGAUUAAAAUAAUUCUUUUAAUUUAUUACAUUGAUUUAUGAAUAUAUGAUCCAAUAUUAUUGAUUAUAAGAUUAAGUUACCUUAGGGAUAACAGCGUAAUUUUUUUGGAGAGCUCAUAUCAAUAAAAAAGUUUGCGACCUCGAUGUUGGAUUAAAAAUUAGCUUGGGUGUAGAAGCUCGAGAUUUUGGUCUGUUCGACCAUUAAAUUUUUACAUGAUCUGAGUUCAGACCGGCGUAAGCCAGGUCGGUUUCUAUCUUUAUUAAAAAAAAAUAUUUUAGUACGAAAGGACCAAAUAUUUGAUAUAAAUAUAUUUAUUUUUUGAAUAAUAUU
rnacentral:rRNA from 1 species